GACGAACCGUCCUAACGUUAUUCGGAAUCACUGGGCUUAAAGGGUGCGUAGGCGGCCCUGGAAGUUGGGUGUGAAAUCCCUCGGCUCAACCGAGGAAUUGCGCCCAAAACUCCAGGGCUCGAGGGAGACAGAGGUGAGCGGAACUUAGGGUGGAGCGGUGAAAUGCGUUGAUAUCCUAAGGAACACCGGUGGCGAAAGCGGCUCACUGGGUCUUUUCUGACGCUGAGGCACGAAAGCUAGGGGAGCGAAGAGG
rnacentral:rRNA from 1 species